UGGGGAAUAUUGCACAAUGGAGGGAACUCUGAUGCAGCGACGCCGCGUGAGUGAUGAAGGAAUUCGUUUCGUAAAACUCUGUUCUAUGGGAAGAAAAGGACUGUACCAUAGGAGAAAGCUCCGGCUAAAUACGUGCCAGCAGCCGCGGUAAUACGUAUGGAGCGAGCGUUAUCCGGAAUUAUUGGGCGUAAAGGGUGCGCAGGCGGCUUUACAAGUUGGAUGUGAAAUAUUGUGGCUCAACCACAAACGUGCAUCCAAAACUGCAAAGCUUGAGUUAAGGAGAGGUAAGUGGAAUUCCUGGUGUAGCGGUGGAAUGCGUAGAUAUCAGGAGGAAUACCGGUGGCGAAGGCGACUUACUGGACUUAAACUGACGCUCAGGCACGAAAGCGUGGGGAGCAAACAGG
rnacentral:rRNA from 1 species